AUGUCAUUGGUGACAUCAUCGGCGUCGUCAUCGUCAUCAUUGGUCAUGGUCACCAUGAUUCAUCAUCAUCAUCCUCACCAUCGCUGGUCAUGGUCAUCAUCAUCCUCACCAUCGUUGCUCAUUGUCAUUGUUGGUCAUGGUCACCAUCGUUCAUCAUCAUCAUCCUCACCAUCAUUGGUCAUUGUCAUUGUUGGUCAUGGUCACCAUGAUUCAUCAUCAUCAUCCUCACCAUCACUGGUCAUCGUCAUCAUUCGUCAUGGUCACCAUUGUUGGUCAUCGUCACCCUCGGUCAUCUUUAUCGUCAUCAUUGUCAUCCUCACCAUUGUUGGUCGUCGUCACCCUCGGUCAUCUUUAUCGUCAUCAUCAUUCAUCAUCGUCACCGUCACCAUUGUUGGUCAUUGUCACUGUUGGUCAUGGUCAUUGUCAUCCUCACCAUCACUGGUCAUGGUCACCAUCGUUCAUCAUCGUCAUCAUUGGUCAUGGUCACCAUUGUUGGUCGUCGUCACCCUCGGUCAUGUUCAUCGUCAUCAUUGUCACCGUCACCAUUGUUGGUCAUUGUCACUGUUGGUCAUGGUCAUCAUCAUCCUCACCAUUGUUGGUCAUUGUCACUGUUGGUCAUGGUCAUUGUCAUCCUCACCAUCAUUGGUCAUUGUCACUGUCACCACUGUCAGUCAUGGUCAUCGUUGGUCAUGGUCAUCAUCAUCCAUGGCUGGUCAUGGUCAUCAUCAUCCUCAGCAUCGUUGGUCAUUGUCACUGUCACCACUGUCAGUCUUUGUCAUCGUUGGUCAUCAUCAUCCUCAUCCUCAUUGGUCAUUGUCACUGUCACCAUCAUCGGUCAUUGCUGGUCUUCAUCAUCCUCAUCCUCACCAUCGCUGGUCAUGGUCAUCAUUGGCCAUGGUCAUCGUCAUCCUCACCAUUGGCCAUCAUCAUCCUCACUGUCACCAUCGUUGGUCAUCGUCACCGUGGCCAUCGUUGGCCAUCCUCAUCCUCACCAUGGCUGGUUAUGGUCAUCAUCAUCAUCAUCAUCAUCAUCAUCAUCACCAUGGUUGGUCAUCAUUGGUCAUCAUCGUCGUCACCAUCAUCGGUCACUGUCAUCGUUGGUCAUCAUCAUCAUCGCCAUCGUUGGCCAUCGUCAUCCUCACCAUGGUUGGUCAUCGUUGGCCAUCCUCAUCCUCACCAUGGCUGGUCAUGGUCAUCAUCCUCAUCCUCAUCCUCACCAUGGUUGGUCAUGGUUGGUCAUCCUCACAGUGGCCAUCGUUGGUCAUGGUCAUCCUCAUCAUCAUCCUCAUCCUCACCAUGGUUGCCCAUCGUUGGUCAUCGUCACCGUGGCCAUCGUUGCCCAUCCUCACUGUCACCGUCGCCGUCACCACCGCGGCCGCCGCCCUCCCAGAGCCGGGAACGCCGGGAGCGCCAGGAGCCGGCUCCGGCCGCCCCGACAUUCCCAAAAAUCCGCGGGAAUUCCCGGUUUUCCCUCCCGCCCCCGUCCCGGGGCCGAGCGCGAGGAGGACCCGGAAUAACGGAGGAGUCGCGGGAUCGGGAUCUGGAGUUUGUGGUGGGGAAC
ensembl:lncRNA